AACGUAGGAGACAAACGUUAUCCGGAGUUACUGGGCGUAAAGGGCGUGUAGGGGGUUUCGUAAGUCUGGCGUGAAAUAUCUCGGCUUAACCGAGGCAGGUCGUCGGAUACUGCGGAACUAGAGGACGGUAGAGGCGUGUGGAAUUCCGGGUGUAGUGGUGAAAUGCGUAGAGAUCCGGAGGAACACCAGUGGCGAAGGCGACACGCUGGGCCGUACCUGACACUGAUGCGCGACAGCAUGGGGAGCAAACAGG
rnacentral:rRNA from 1 species